AUUGAACGCUGGCGGCAGGCCUAACACAUGCAAGUCGAACGAGUGGCGGACGGGUGAGUAAUGUCUGGUAAACUGCCUGAUGGAGGGGGGUCACUACUGGAAACGGUAGCUAAUAACGCAUACCAUAGGAGGUACCCAGAUGGGAAUAGCUAGUAGGUGGGGUAACGGCUCACCUAGGCGAAGAUCGCUAGCUGGUCUGAGAGGAUGACCAGCCACACUGGAACUGAGACACGGGCCAGACUCCUACGGGAGGCAGCAGUGGGGAAUAUUGCACAAUGGGCGCAAGCCUGAUGCAGCCAUGCCGCGUGUAUGAAGAAGGCCUUCGGGUUGUAAAGUACUGUCAGCGGGGAGGCGUUACCCGCAGAAGAAGCCCCGGCUAACUCCGUGCCAGCAGCCGCGGUAAUAC
rnacentral:rRNA from 1 species